GAGUUUGAUCAUGGCUCAGAUUGAACGCUGGCGGUAGGCUUAACACAUGCAAGUCGUGCGAGAAAGUAUCUUCGGAUAUGAGUAGAGCGGCGGACGGGUGAGUAACGCGUAGGAAUCUACCUAGUAGAAGGGGAUAGCCCGGGGAAACUCGGAUUAAUACCGUAUACCUCCUUCGGGAGAAAGAAGGCCUCUCUUUGAAGCUUUCGCUAUUAGAUGAGCCUGCGUAAGAUUAGCUUGUUGGUGAGGUAAAGGCUCACCAAGGCGACGAUCUUUAGCGGGUCUGAGAGGACGAUCCGCCACAUUGGGACUGAGACACGGCCCAGACUCCUACGGGAGGCAGCAGUGGGGAAUAUUGGACAAUGGGCGCAAGCCUGAUCCAGCCAUACCGCGUGUGUGAAGAAGGCCCUAGGGUUGUAAAGCACUUUAAGUUGGGAAGAAAAGUUAUUGGUUAAUACCCAAUAACCGUGACAUUACCAUCAGAAUAAGGACCGGCUAAUUCCGUGCCAGCAGCCGCGGUAAUACGGAAGGUCCAAGCGUUAAUCGGAAUUACUGGGCGUAAAGCGCGCGUAGGUGGUUUAUUAAGUUGGAUGUGAAAUCCCCGGGCUCAACCUGGGAACUGCAUCCAAAACUGAUUCACUAGAGUACGAUAGAGGGAGGUAGAAUUCACAGUGUAGCGGUGGAAUGCGUAGAUAUUGUGAAGAAUACCAAUGGCGAAGGCAGCCUCCUGGAUCUGUACUGACACUGAGGUGCGAAAGCGUGGGUAGCGAACAGGAUUAGAUACCCUGGUAGUCCACGCCGUAAACGAUGUCAACUAGCUGUUGGAAAACUAUGUUUUUCAGUGGCGCAGCUAACGUAGUAAGUUGACCGCCUGGGGAGUACGGCCGCAAGGCUAAAACUCAAAUGAAUUGACGGGGACCCGCACAAGCGGUGGAGCAUGUGGUUUAAUUCGAUGCAACGCGAAAAACCUUACCUAUACUUGACAUACUUGGAAUGCUUUGUAAUGAAGCAGUGCCUUCGGGAGCCAAGAUACAGGUGCUGCAUGGCUGUCGUCAGCUCGUGUCGUGAGAUGUUCCGUUAAGUCGGAUAACGAGCGCAACCCUUACCCUUAUUUGCCAGCGAUUCGGUCGGGAACUAUAAGGGGACUGCCGGUGAUAAACCGGAGGAAGGUGAGGACGACGUCAAGUCAUCAUGGCCCUUACGUAUAGGGCUACACACGUGCUACAAUGGAGAAUACAGACGGACGCUAAGCCGCGAGGUGGUGCUAAUCCUAGAAAAUUCUUCGUAGUCCGGAUUGGAGUCUGCAACUCGACUCCAUGAAGUCGGAAUCGCUAGUAAUCGCGAAUCAGCAUGUCGCGGUGAAUACGUUCUCGGGUCUUGUACACACCGCCCGUCAUACCAUGGAAGUGGAUUGCACCAGAAGUAGAUAGUCUAACCUUCGGGAGGGCGUUUACCACGGUGUGCUUCAUGACUGGGGUAAAGUCGUAACAAGGUAACC
rnacentral:rRNA from 1 species